rnacentral:rRNA from 1 species
AGAGUUUGAUCCUGGCUCAGGAUGAACGCUAGCGGGAGGCCUAACACAUGCAAGCCGAGCGGUAUUUGUUCUUCGGAACAGAGAGAGCGGCGUACGGGUGCGGAACACGUGUGCAACCUGCCUUUAUCUGGGAGAUAGCCUUUCGAAAGGAAGAUUAAUAUCCCAUAAUAUAUUAAGUGGCAUCACUUGAUAUUGAAAGCUCCGGCGGAUAGAGAUGGGCACGCGCAAGAUUAGAUAGUUGGUGAGGUAACGGCUCACCAAGUCAGUGAUCUUUAGGGGGCCUGAGAGGGUGAUCCCCCACACUGGUACUGAGACACGGACCAGACUCCUACGGGAGGCAGCAGUGAGGAAUAUUGGACAAUGGGUGAAAGCCUGAUCCAGCCAUCCCGCGUGAAGGACGACGGCCCUAUGGGUUGUAAACUUCUUUUGUAUAGGGAUAAACCUUUCCACGUGUGGAAAGCUGAAGGUACUAUACGAAUAAGCACCGGCUAACUCCGUGCCAGCAGCCGCGGUAAUACGGAGGGUGCAAGCGUUAUCCGGAUUUAUUGGGUUUAAAGGGUCCGUAGGCGGAUCUGUAAGUCAGUGGUGAAAUCUCACAGCUUAACUGUGAAACUGCCAUUGAUACUGCAGGUCUUGAGUAAGGUAGAAGUGGCUGGAAUAAGUAGUGUAGCGGUGAAAUGCAUAGAUAUUACUUAGAACACCAAUUGCGAAGGCAGGUCACUAUGUCUUAACUGACGCUGAUGGACGAAAGCGUGGGGAGCGAACAGGAUUAGAUACCCUGGUAGUCCACGCCGUAAACGAUGCUAACUCGUUUUUGGGUUUUCGGAUUCAGAGACUAAGCGAAAGUGAUAAG